rnacentral:tRNA from 1 species
GAGGGUCUAGCUCAGUGGCAGAGCGCAUGCUUAGCAUGCACAAGGCCCUGGGUUCAGUCCCAGCACCUCCU